UCGACUAGCAUGCGAGUCGAUGUAGCAUACAUGGCGUACUGCUCAGUAACACGUGGACUACCUACCCUUAGGCCUGGGAUAACCCCGGGAAACUGGGAAUAAUACCGGAUAUCUCGCGAAUGCUGGAAUGCGUCGCGAUAGAAAGCUCCGGCGCCUAAGGAUGGGUCUGCGGCCUAUCAGGGUAGUAGUGGGUGUAACGUACCUACUAGCCUACGACGGGUACGGGUUGUGAGAGCAAGAGCCCGGAGAUGGAUUCUGAGACACGAAUCCAGGCCCUACGGGGUGCAGCAGGCGCGAAAACUUUACAAUGCUGGAAACAGCGAUAAGGGGACCUCGAGCGCCAGGAUACAAUCCUGGCUGUCGUAAUGCCUAAAAAGCAUUGCAUAGC
rnacentral:rRNA from 1 species